AGUAUCGUUUUGUUUUGAUACCGAUAUUCGAGUCUGGAAACCGCUGCCUAUCUUUUAAUCUUCAUCGAGUCAUUCUUGUAACAUAAUAAGCGUUGUUAUCGAUCACCGUGUAUGGUAUCGAUCCUCUUAGUUAAAAAAUAAUCGCACGACUCACCCAUUCGGCGCCUUUUGGCCGUUUCUUUGAAAACCCGUACUUUUUUGCUGGGUUGGUAUUGACGGAAAUCCGGUCCGAAAAAUACUGAAUAGCCGUAGUGUUGCGUUUAUGCAAAUUGAUUGUGUCGAGUGUUCAACAAUUGACAAAACGUUCUAAUAAAAGCCCAACAGAUCGAAGACUAGCGUCCCACCAAACCGGAGAUAUCGACUGGACUUAUAUCAGAAAACGAGAAAGCGGUCUCGGCAUGUAAAUAAUGGGGCGAGUACCGGUCGUAAGAAUUUCAUGUCCCCGGACAGAGGACCCCAGUUCCGACUCCUACAGGUGCCCGAGCGGCCUUCACAGUGGAUAUAACGUCAUCGGUUCGGACUCACCUGGAUCAGGUUGAUGAGAAAAACAAAAGAACGUAUCCGGACCGCGAGCUGGGGCUAAAACAUGCACACGGGAACUGCCUCAACCUCUCCCAAACAUUAAACGCUUGGGACAAAUAAAAAUUACAAAUUCACCACACAACCGACUUCUAAACGGCCACUAAUGUCACUAAACUAUUUCCACUUCAAUUCUUUUAGUUGCCGAACCUGCCGCCGCGGCGCCACCGAACACGGCAAAUCUGCAAUUUUGGGUCGCUUCCGCGCUAAAAACACUAAAUUUUACUUUAAAACGAAGUAAAAUAAACGACGUUAUUAUUUUAAUUUUUUUCAGGUGCUUCUUGCCCCCAAUUAACGAAAUGUCAGUUUUUCGUGGCACCCUUUGUUUAAGAUUAGUGGUCCAAGGAAUAAAAAACCCCAGGACCCAGUUAAUCCCCUGCACCAGGAAAAGGAUCAUGGGUUGCCACGCCACCAGCCACCUAAUCCAGUCCAGCAGCUGCCCAUAAAGCACGUGUGGUUUCUCCCAUGGGUUGCAGAACAUUUUUUUCAAGUCAACUUUUUCCUUGCAGUAAGGACACGUCUGUUUCUUGCCUACGAUGCACCACCCCCGUAUGCAAAAUUCAUGAAACCUGUAAGACCAAGUCAAGGGGGCGUUUGUUUCAAGGUGGGGCUUACACGUGGUCACAGGUCAGUUUGUAGGUGUUUUCAAUGACCCCCUCUUCAUUCUCGCUGACUAGUAAUUUAUUUCCGCAAACGGCACACACCGAGGGGUCUAAAUUUCGCGUCGGCAUGCCUUGAUUAGUGUAAUACUGUAAUGGGUGAUUAGGAACGGGCGAAAAAGUGCGCUUUAUUUACCCCAACAUGCGAAGCCAUUUUAUCGGCGCAUAUUUCGGAAAUGUCGCGCCCCAAAACGCCGUAGUACAAGCCGUAGAAAAUUAACAGCAAAGCGCAAUCCAUCCAAGAGUUGGCUUUGGCGUUAAAAACUAGAUUGAGACCGAAAAAAGUCGCCAUCAUGAUAAAGUAGCCCAAGAUACCCAGAACGUAGCUUAGCUUAUAGAUAAAAAGAAACCACUUAUAGACUAGUCUGAAAAAGGCGGUUUAGUUGGGGGCGCGUGCCGGGGCGGGGUUACCGUGGGGUGGUCCCCGUGAUGGGUUUUUGCAUCGCUUUCCACACGAUUAGACUCGUGACACAGGAAAAGAGCAGCCAAAUGAAGAUGAAACGCCACCACCUAUUGUGCAGGCAGAGAAUUAAGGGAAUUAUCCACAUUCCGAGGAGCGUUACUAACUGAAAAUUGGGCGUUAGUUGGGGUUUUCAAUACGUGGCGUUUUGUACAAGAUACGAGCGGGAAUGCCGUUUUUUCCAUUCAAUUAAAACUACUUGCGCUACUACUAGUGUUAGAAUUAGGAUAAGGACCAUCUCCGCGUGCAUUUUUUCGUGGCCUUUGUGUUGCUCGUGUAAUUUCUGAUGCUCUAGCCUCCAUUUUUCCUCAGGUGUUAAUUCCUCGACCGACUAUAAUCCAAUUAUUAGAUAAGGAAUUCGGACAGUCAUUUUCGAUACCUUAUUCGCAAUAUUCACCGGUUUGUGCAAAUCCAUUGCGUAGUAUACUUAAACCUUAACUUAUUUGACUAGCAAAUUUAUUUAAUUCCAUAGAAAAAUAUUAAAAACAUUUAUUAUUUAUAAUACAAUGACGCGGCUUUCAGGUUAUGUCAUUUUUUUGACAAGUGACAUAAUACGAGUCAGUCGAUCGCGUUCGGGACACCGGACGAUGCAUGCGUAUAUUUAAAAAAAAUAUGUGAUUCACAUAAAAAAAAUGCAAAUUAUGUCACGUUUUUUAUUAGUAAAAAAAAUAACAAAAGGUAAAAGACACAUUAGUAGGAUAAAUCACUUUCAAAAUAUGACUAAACGAUAUUAAAGUGAUUAUUAACCAUAAAAAGUGGUUACGAGAUUAUUACAACGCAAUAACAACAAACCGUUUAACUUAUGAAUGAAAUAAAUAUGACGUAAAAGGCACUUAUGGAUAUAAACACAA